rnacentral:rRNA from 1 species
GAUGAACGCUGGCGGCGUGCCUAAUACAUGCAAGUAGAACGCUGAAGGAAGGAGCUUGCUCUUUCCGGAUGAGUUGCGAACGGGUGAGUAACGCGUAGGUAACCUGCCUGGUAGCGGGGGAUAACUAUUGGAAACGAUAGCUAAUACCGCAUAACAGUAGAUGUUGCAUGAUAUCUACUUAAAAGGUGCAAUUGCACCACUACCAGAUGGACCUGCGUUGUAUUAGCUAGUUGGUGAGGUAACGGCUCACCAAGGCGACGAUACAUAGCCGACCUGAGAGGGUGGUCGGCCACACUGGGACUGGGACACGGCCCAGACUCCUACGGGGGGCAGCAGGAGGGAAUCUUCGGCAAUGGACGGAAGUCUGACCGAGCAACGCCGGGUGAGUGAAGAAGGGUUUCGGAUCGUAAAGCUCUGUUGUAAGAGAAGAACGAGUGUGAGAGUGGAAAGUUCACACUGUGACGGUAUCUUAACAGAAAGGGACGGCUAACUACGUG